CCGAGCUUGCGGCCUGGUCGGCCCUGCUCAAUCCCAUCCUCACCUCCUCCCACCCCACCCCCACGCCGCCACCCAGAGCAACAAGGGGGUGGGAGUGGGGAUUGUCCACGUUGGUCCCUCUUGGAUCCUCCUCCAGCACACCCCCCACAUUGGCUCUUAAUCAUUGGCGUCACUUGGUCGUGCAGCUUCGACCGCGUUGCUUAGCAACGAAAUAACAAACAAGGUAAAUCGAAUCUCCAUUGAAUCUGCGUGAAAGCCUUGUUAACAUGGACGCGUCCUCAGUGCUGCAGUGCCAAGGUGGGGGUGGGGCUGACUCGUCUUAAACGGAGGAUUCACACAGUAGAAAAUGAAUGGAAUCAGACCUCGUGGACCAUUUGCGGCUGACUUAUUUCGCUCAUCAUGAAGGGAGUGAGAUUUCCCCAUUGUGUGUGUGGCUGGAAGAGGAGGAUUCCCUCUCCCCCGGCAAAAGAACGGUCAGGGCUUUGAACUUGGUCAGCCUCCUGGCUUCUCUGCCUCGCCUUCCACUGAAACUCCUGGUGGAUAUCCACUUGAACCAAACCCCAGCUUACCAAGGCUCUUCGCAAAUUGGCUCAUCUCUGCAAGUGGCUGGAGCUGCCCCAGCCUCCAUUCCAAGGGCUCUUGGACUGUUUUUUCCCCAUUAGUCAGGGUGGUAGGGUACCUUAGCACACACUGCUUCCCUUGUUCCUGAGCCACCUGAAUUAGGGCGUCACAGAGCCCUGGCGGCCAAGACAGCCUGAGGCAUUAGAAUCCUCUUCCCUCCAGACAGUCUCAUUCCUUUCCAGUUAUUUGGACUUCUCCUAUUUAAAAAACAUUUUUUUAA